CCUACGGGAGGCAGCAGUGGGGAAUCUUAGACAAUGGGCGCAAGCCUGAUCUAGCCAUGCCGCGUGAGUGAUGAAGGCCUUAGGGUCGUAAAACUCUUUCGCCUGUGAUGAUAAUGACAGUAGCAGGUAAAGAAACCCCGGCUAACUCCGUGCCAGCAGCCGCGGUAAUACGGAGGGGGUUAGCGUUGUUCGGAAUUACUGGGCGUAAAGCGCACGUAGGCGGAUUGGAAAGUUGGGGGUGAAAUCCCGGGGCUCAACCCCGGAACUGCCUUCAAUACUAUCAGUCUAGAGUUCGAGAGAGGUGAGUGGAAUUCCAAGUGUAGAGGUGAAAUUCGUAGAUAUUUGGAGGAACACCAGUGGCGAAGGCGGCUCACUGGCUCGAUACUGACGCUGAGGUGCGAAAGUGUGGGGAGCAAACAGGAUUAGAUACCCUGGUAGUCCACACCGUAAACGAUGAAUGCCAGUCGUCGGGCAGUAUACUGUUCGGUGACACACCUAACGGAUUAAGCAUUCCGCCUGGGGAGUACGGUCGCAAGAUUAAAACUCAAAGGAAUUGACGG
rnacentral:rRNA from 1 species